GCAGAACAUGACAGUCACAAGUAUGGCAAUAUGUAAAUCAAUGGAUGUGUAAUUGAUGUGAUUCUGCAAUCUGUAUAUGGGCUAAAAAUGGGAGUUCAUAACCCACUUGAAGCAAAGUGUGAAAGAUGAUAUAUCAAGAACUAUGUAAUGUUUUGAACAANGAUUUGGGAAGAGAACGUGGAUUUCCCCAGAACGUGAUUGUAGACGGCUGGUGUGAGUUCGGGAAUAAAGAGUUGCUGUUUGAAUCUACAAGCUGUGUGGUGGCUCGUGAUUGUGUGCCCAGCCAGACUGCGGCAUUUGUGCCCAGCCAGACAUUGGCAUUUGGCAUCCCAUGCGGGGAACUUCUGAAUCUUAGAGGUAAGUGAAAUUUCUCACCCUUGAGGAAGAGAGAAAGAAUGGGUGAACAUUUCAAAAAACAAUGUGUUAUUGUUUUGAUUUAUUUUGUUUUUAUUUCAAGUUGCCUGUUCCUAGAACUUUCUCAGGCAAACUGGGGAAAAUGGUUGACUCAAGGUUUGAAGUUGUUCGCCUCUGAGCAAGAUAAAUUGUUAGAGGAAGGAGGCGCCCCAGUGAGACCAAGAACAAUUAGGGCAUAUGUUGAUACAAUACAAAAAUGUAGCACAUGGCUUUUUAAAGACGAGUUAUUAAGUAUAUCAAUGGGACCAUCAUGGUAUCCUGUAGAAGGAUUUUUCUUCAACAAGAAAAAGAUGGCUAAUUCUGUUUACUACACUUGUCUAAGAUCUUGGUUUUUACAGAUAUCUGAUUAAUUUACAAGCUAAAGUGUUAAAAUAUCAAUCACUAAACAUGAAAUCAAGUACUCUUUACUUAUUAAGUUCCAUAAGGUAAUAUAUUUAAACAUUAUGUGUGUUUUCAUAAAUUGGUAAAUGGAAAAAUGUUUAAUAUUGCUUUGUGACUGUGUCUUUGCUAAAACAAGGUUACUAAGUGUUAAGAUUCUAUCAUGUGUAAUUUAUAUACAAAGAGUAGAAAAAUUUUCAGUUGGGUUUCAAUUGUAGUAUUAUAGUAUCAUAAAAAACAUGAAAGUCUUUCAUCUUAUUAAAGUGGAGUAAUUUGUCUAAAUCAGAAAUUUUAUAAGAGUUGUUUCAAAAUGUGAAUUUAUAAAAAGGGUUAAUGGUUAAAAAAUAGAGAAAAAGAUUCAAGACGUGGAAAUAUAUUAAUAUAAAAGGUUAAAGGAAAAAGAAAUGUUUCUAGAUGAGAUAAUAUCUGUGUGGUAAAGUAAAAAGUUGUAAAAUGCCAUUUAAAAAGAAUUUGAGGAAACUAGACUUAAUUUAAAAGCUUGAGAAAGGAAGAAAGAAGAAAAAGAUAUUUGUACAUGGCAGAUUGAGACAAAGCUUCUCAAUGGAGUUAAAAAAAAAAAGCCUUUGGUUGAAAGGCAGCCAUGUAAACUAACAUUGAAGCGAUUUAAACAAAAUCUAAGCCUCGUUUAAAAGAGUGAAGCUGUAGGUGGUGAAAAAGUACAUUUAAAAGUACAGUAUAGAUGAUAAUUGGAAGGCUUUAAAAGGUUAAAUUGAAGGUGGUUAAAAUGCCUUCAUGACGGAGGAAAGAUUGCGCCAUUCGAAGCCUAGUUAAUCUUAAAGGCAUUAC
rnacentral:lncRNA from 1 species